GCCCUCGUGGAUCGUGGUGAUCACCCACUUUGAAUGCUCCAAGCCUCGAAACGUUUGAUGGGAGAUGUGGGUUCGAUUCCCACCGAGAGUA